GACGAACGCUGGCGGCGUGCUUAACACAUGCAAGUCGAACGGAAAGGCCCUGCUUUUGUGGGGUGCUCGAGUGGCGAAAGGGUGAGUAACCCGUGAGUAACCUGCCCUUGACUUUGGGAUAACUUCAGGAAACUGGGGCUAAUACCGGAUAGGAGCUCCUGCUGCAUGGAGGGGGUUGGAAAGUUUCGGCGGUUGGGGAUGGACUCGCGGCUUAUCAGCUUGUUGGUGGGGUAGUGGCUUACCAAGGCUUUGACGGGUAGCCGGCCUGAGAGGGUGACCGGCCACAUUGGGACUGAGAUACGGCCCAGACUCCUACGGGAGGCAGCAGUGGGGAAUAUUGCACAAUGGGCGGAAGCCUGAUGCAGCAACGCCGCGUGCGGGAUGACGGCCUUCGGGUUGUAAACCGCUUUCGCCUGUGACGAAGCGUGAGUGACGGUAAUGGGUAAAGAAGCACCGGCUAACUACGUG
rnacentral:rRNA from 1 species